UGUCGGUUCUCCCGCAACACUACCCUGUGGACUCGGUCAGAUCCGGAAGGAAGCAGCCGCAGCAGGUGACGUGUGUGCCGGGAUGUAGCUGGCAGGG
rnacentral:SRP_RNA from 2 species